GACGAACGCUGGCGGCAUGCCUAAGACAUGCAAGUCGAACGAGGGCAUCGGCCUUAUUGGCGCACGGGGAUGUAAUGCGUGGGUACCUUCCCUUAGGUUCGGAAUAGCUCAGAGAAAGUUGAGCUAAUGCCGGAUAAUGUCGUCGCACCAAAGAUGUGUCGACUUUGGAUGGGCCCGCGUAGGAUUAGGUAGUGGGUGGGGUAAUGGCCUAGCAAGCGGACGAUCCUUAGUUGGUCUGAGAGGAUGAUAAGCCAAAAUGGGACUGAGACACGGCCCAGACUACGACGGGAGGCAGCAGUGGGGAAUAUUGGAAAAUGGGGGAAACCCUGAUCCAGCAAUGCCGCGUGAGUGAUGAAGGCCUUAGGGUUGUAAAGCUCUUUUACCCGGGAUGAUAAUGACAGUACCGGGAGAAUAAGCUCCGGCUAACUCCGUGCCAGCCGCCGCCGUAACAC
rnacentral:rRNA from 1 species